UAAAAGUUAGUUUAUGGGGAGAAUGUUUGAUUGUUGAUCAAGAGGAGAGACUUUUAG
rnacentral:tRNA from 1 species